rnacentral:misc_RNA from 1 species
UCUCCGUUGGUGAACCAGCGGAGGGAUCAUUACCGAGUUACAACUCCCAAACCCCUGUGAACAUACCAUUUGUUGCCUCGGCGGUGCCUGCUUCGGCAGCCCGCCAGAGGACCCAAACCCUUGAUUCUAUACAGUAUCUUCUGAGUAAAUGAUUAAAUAAAUCAAAACUUUCAACAACGGAUCUCUUGGUUCUG